rnacentral:rRNA from 1 species
UGGUGUGGUAAUGCCGGAUGUUCCACAUGAUCGCAUGUGAUUGUGGGAAAGAUUCUAUCGGCGUGGGAUGGGGUCGCGUCCUAUCAGCUUGUUGGUGAGGUAACGGCUCACCAAGGCUUCGACGGGUAGCCGGCCUGAGAGGGCGACCGGCCACAUUGGGACUGAGAUACGGCCCAGACUCCUACGGGAGGCAGCAGUGGGGAAUAUUGCACAAUGGGCGCAAGCCUGAUGCAGCGACGCCGCGUGAGGGAUGGAGGCCUUCGGGUUGUAAACCUCUUUUGUUUGGGAGCAAGCCUUCGGGUGAGUGUACCUUUCGAAUAAGCGCCGGCUAACUACGUGCCAGCAGCCGCGGUAAUACGUAGGGCGCAAGCGUUAUCCGGAUUUAUUGGGCGUAAAGGGCUCGUAGGCGGCUCGUCGCGUCCGGUGUGAAAGUCCAUCGCUUAACGGUGGAUCUGCGCCGGGUACGGGCGGGCUGGAGUGCGGUAGGGGAGACUGGAAUUCCCGGUGUAACGGUGGAAUGUGUAGAUAUCGGGAAGAACACCGAUGGCGAAGGCAGGUCUCUGGGCCGUCACUGACGCUGAGGAGCGAAAGCGUGGGGAGCGAACAGGAUUAGAUACCCUGGUAGUCCACGCCGUAAACGGUGGACGCUGGAUGUGGGGCACGUUCCACGUGUUCCGUGUCGGAGCUAACGCGUUAAGCGUCCCGCCUGGGGAGUACGGCCGCAAGGCUAAAACUCAAAGAAAUUGACGGGGGCCCGCACAAGCGGCGGAGCAUGCGGAUUAAUUCGAUGCAACGCGAAGAACCUUACCUGGGCUUGACAUGUUCCCGACGACGCCAGAGAUGGCGUUUCCCUUCGGGGCGGGUUCACAGGUGGUUGCAUGGUCA